rnacentral:rRNA from 1 species
GGAUGCGAUCAUACCAGCACUAACGCAUCGGA